AUUAAAACAACUCCAUUAGCUCAUGCUUCUGAACUGCAUGGAGCCUGUCCUCAGGACUGAUUUUUUUUUUUCCUGUCACCUUUUAGCCAUUCCAGGGCCAGGACCGAAGAUGAAGGUCUCAGACACCAUACCUGACCCACUGGAAUGCAGUUUGCCGAGUGGGUGCCGUUACUUCUGAGGGGGAUUUGUGCCGAGCACCUCUCUUGCUGGGGAAUGGGUGAACAUGCAGUUCGUUUUGAUGCCGUUCCAAAGAGCUGUCACCAUCCCUGUUUCCACUGAGCCCUUUCUCCGCAAGCCCCUGUGGAGGAUCUUGUUUCUGGAGUCUAACCCGCCAUCGUGCAGCAUCACAUCAGUGGAGACAAUUCUCCCAAUGCAACUAGAUCCCGGAAGUGCAGUUCAGCGUGUGGGCCAGCCUCCUGGCUUUGGGUGCUAUGAUGGCUGUUCUUGGUCACCAGCUUGACUACAUCUGGAUUGAACUGUGAUCCAGGAAUGAGAGAUUAUUUGUGCUGGUUUGAAGUGGGCGACUCCACUUCUAGUCCAGACCUUUGAGGUGGGAAGAAACACACCUUUGAUCCAGAUUUUGAGGCAGAAGACAUAUCACUAAUCUUGACCAUGACUUCUGCUGGAAGCCUACAUAAGGACUUGGAAGAAGGAAGCUUUUGCUAGUUACCUGCUUGUUCUCGGCUUGCUAGCACAUCCAUUCCUUCACUGGCUUUUACUUCUUUAGGAACCCAGCAUCUACUGAAGACCAGCUGAGACAUCCAGCCUUGUGGAUUGAGCAACUACUGGACUUGUGUACUUUCUGUUCCUACCCAGCCAUUGUUGGAUAGGCUGGACUGCAGACUGCAAAUCAUUCCAGUAAAUCUUGUAUGUAUGUA